AUCUCUAGCUGGAGAUUCUUCCGCUUGGAGCCUUUCUGCGAGCCCAGGACAUGGGAAUAUGCUGCAUGCUGAUGCCCUCCAGGAGGAGGAGGAGGAGUUUGCUGGUGUGGCACAACCUGUGAGGUGUGGACCAUGUGUGGGGGCUGCUCUUUGCUCUGGUGAGGCACUUCAGUCAUCUCUUCAGACUGCUCUGCAGCUCUAAAUGGAAAAGGUUUCCUUCCUUAAGUGACAUGCAUCUACUGGGUACAAACAUACAUGGCUGUAUUUUAUGAGAUGUUUUCCCUCUGGAGCCUGAAGAACAAUGACACGGAAGGCUCCGGCAGCUGCCACUUUGGUUUUGCCUCCCUCUGACUUCAGUCCUCCUGGGCCCCUUUGAAGCCACAAGGAAAAGAGCAUGAGUAAGAAGAAACGGAGGGGAACGAUAAUAAAAGAAGAUGGUUUUUUACAGCAGCCUGCUAUAAACCAACAGUCCUGGCCCUGUUUGUGGUAGCACUUGUAUUUUUAGUCUUUAAGGAAGCACAGAAGAGUAAACAGCAUUAUUGGAAUAAAUGCCUGGUGGCAGCUAUUAGCCCGGAGAAUUAUUAUGCACGCAAAUCUGAAUAACCAAAUGUGUUGGCUCUGAAAGCAUCAUCCAUGUGCAGUAGGCUCUCAGCAAUGGUGACACAGGUCCAACAUGAUGGAUCCUAACAGACUGUUAAUCAGUCACCAGAGCCCACAAAUUAUACUCUGAAAGUGCUUAGUAUUAGUCACAACAGUUCCGCAGCAAAUAGCAUGAAUCAGCUGCACGUGUUAAACUGUACCUACUCUGUUUGCAAGAAAAUAGGGGCAAUUCCUCGGGCUGCUUCAGCACCACAGACAUUUUAGAAAAAACUCGGAGCUGGUCCUACUUUUUCCUUCCAAAACAGUGUUAAGAGUCACACAAACUCUGCUCUCAAGGUGCAGCAGCAGCCACGUUCCUUUUCUGGCAGCACCAUUUGCAGUUUCAGUGCUCCUUGGUGGCAGAGUGAGGAGCCCAACCUUCCCUUCAGAGCAGCCCUUGACGUGGCACUUCUGCACAGCAAAAGGUGAGCAGCAGCCCCGUGCUAUGCCAUGCCACCCUGCUGCCCUGCAAAAUGCACACCCUGGCAGUUUGGAUACAAACAUGCGUAUUGACUGUCUGAGCCUCUCGCCAGCCAUCCUAAGACGAUAAGCACAUGCUUAAUAUUCAACAUCCUGUACAGUCUGUGAAUUGCUGGCCAGGAAACAAAUGAGGAUGCGAUUUUCCGCAGAACUGAAAGUGUGCGUCCUGUGAAUUGGUUCGGGUUAUUUUGCUUCAUUUCUCCAUCAGAUUCUUUUCUGUUAGAGGAAAUGGUUCACACAGGCAUGAUCACUGGCACCGUUCUUGGCAGAAAGGAGCUGAGAUGCUCACUUUCCUGCUCCAGAGCAAGAAAUACAGCAAGGCACCUGUUAGAUUCAUUGACUGCUCUCUUCUAGUUAGAGGGGAAAAUGCAAGCUUUUGACUUUAAGAUAUAAAUUUCCACGUUCUUGAAUCCAUGGAGUGAUAAAAAAUGCAAAGAGUGUACAGAUAGAGUCAAGAGUCAAUAUUGAGUCUAAUCAGACCUUAAUAAAUUUAGUUAUAUGGUCUCAGGGGGCUUUUCCAGUUUCUGCUUGGAAAAGGCACACGUUGGCUGUGAAAAACACUUCUCAGUGCCAAAUUUCUGAGCUGUUUGCAGAAGAAUACAUAGACAGGUAGUUUUAGAGAGGGAGAGUGGCUUUUCCGGGUCUGUUAGGUUUUGGCACUGGCAUCAAGGGCUCUCAUCCAAGCGAAUGGGAAUGUAACCAGCACGGCUUGCAGCUAAGCCAGCAUCACAGUCCCCUUUGGUGAUAGUUUCACCCAAUUCCAGACAUUGCCCCCAUAGAGAACUGUCAGUUUUGCCUCGUGUUUCAAAUCCAAUUAUAAAACUGUGCUAUAAACCUCUAACAAGCCGUGUUAUUGUCAGCAAAAGGGUGUUUACAUACUGCUACCCAAUUCAUUACCAGCAUGCAACUGCUAAUAAGCGCACAGCCCGAUGUUUGCCCCCCAUGGGCCCCAGCGGGCGUACCUGCACCAGGUUAUGGGUAGGCACUGCUGGCAGCCACGGGAUCACACAGCCUGCCAGCAGGCACAGCUCUGGGGGCAUCAUUACGUUAGCAGCACAAGGGAGAAAGGGUAACAAGCGUAUUUUGGCAGUGGAGGUAAUAAACGCGAGCCGUUGUCUCCCUCAGCAGGGAUAAAAGGCAAGUAACAACUGUCAGACAAAAGCAGGAGAAAUUCCCUUCUGUGCCAGUGUGGUCGCUUCAGCCCAGAGAAAGCCCGUGGCCACGUGGCUAUCUCUGAUCACACCACAACUUUGUUCUUACCGAAUUUUGGCUUACAUCUUUGUGCCACUAGAUUGGCUAGCAUCUCUCUUUUCCAUUCACCUGUACUUUAUUUCCUUGUACAUUAGGUUCCUAUCCCUACUUUAGGGCCUAGCCCACACCACUCCUUUCCCUCUUGGCCUCCCCCACAGCAGAACAGCUAAAGCACUCUUUCAAAUUAAUAAAGCAUAUUGAAACCUC
ensembl:lncRNA